ACUCAAAGGAAUUGACGGGGAUCCACACAAGCGGUGGAGCAUGUGGUUUAAUUCGACACUAAGCGAAGGACCUCACCAGGGCUUGACAUCUCUGGAAGUCUCUAGAAAUAGAGAUGUGCCCGCAAGGGAACCAGAUGACAGGUGCUGCAUGGUCGUCGUCAGCUCGUGUCGUGAGAUGUCGGGUUAAGUCCCCCAACGAGCGCAACCCUCACUGUAUGUUGUAUUUCUCAUACAGGACUGCCUCCGUAAGGAGGAGGAAGGCGGGGAUGACGUCAGAUCAGCAUGGCUCUUACGCCCUGGGCCACACACGUGCUACAAUGGCCGGUACAAUGGGAAGCCAAGGAGUAAUCCGGAGCGAAUCCCACUAAAGCCGGUCUCAGUUCGGAUUGAGGGCUGCAACUCGCCCUCAUGAAGUUGGAAUCGCUAGUAACCGUGUAUCAGCUACGGCACGGUGAAUACGUUCCUGGAUCUUGUACACACCGCCCGU
rnacentral:rRNA from 1 species